AAGCGGCUGGGAACAGGAGAUAGCGUGUAACUCGAUUUAUUACCAGCUGACCAUGAAUUGUGAACAUUAAAAUGUCAUUCACUGUUAGAAAUGUACACCUAUCAGUGGUAGGCAGGUGAACGCUGCGCUAUGCCCAGUUUUACACUGAUGCUAAUAAUCUGUACUGGUAUAUUUUCUAUAUUUUAAAGACACAUUUCAUAAUAUUUAUUUUUCUGACUCUGUGCUGCUAAACUGUGUUACUAGUAUUGGUCAGAACAUGACAAAUAACAGUAAAAAGUCGCCACACCAGCAUUCAGGUUUUCAGGUUAAUAAGGAAUCGAGUCCAUUGAGGGAUGAUUUAGGAAAGACUUCACUGAAGAGGCCUGCAGUUACUACAGCCGGUGGUCUCAAUCUAAUAACAUUCAGUAUUUGUAAGGAGAGCAUGAGGCCAGUUAAGAAAGCCCUGAAACAGCUGGAGCUGCUGAAAGAUCUUCCCUUGGAGCAGCAGGUCCGCUCUACCAGAACACAGGUGCUCACGAUCGGGGAGCACGUCAGCACCUGCCUGGCAGAGUACACCACAGCACAGGAGGCCAGAUACUGGAAAAGGUCCAGUACCUACUACCUACUAUACUCCCUGAACACUAUGACACACAACAUGCUGUGCUGCUAGGCACCAGCCAUAGAGGAUGUUCACAAUAGUCCUUGUGUCAGAUUUCAGGUAAAUAGAAUUGAGUACCCUGUACAAGUAGACAAACCUUUCGGCCAGUGCCUUCUGCAGUGUAAACAACGACCUUCUUGGGCAAAUAAAUACGCGUCCUGACGUUACUGUUGCUCUUCAAAAUCUUAUUUUAUUUUAUUUUUGAAUUUUAGGUAUUUAUGGAAAUUUGCAUCCAUCUUUUCAGAACACAAUGCUAGAACUCUGCGCAGACUGUAUAAGUAUUCACAGGUUAAUCAAGAGGACAAAUUUAUGGUAAGCAUAUGUAAGGGCUUGUGGGUUUUUUCUUACUAUUUUAUACCAAUGUUUGCAGGAUUACUGGCAGUGUAUGAAUCAAUGCAAAAUUACAACUCAAGCAUCUGCACUUGAAUGAUCACAGAGGUGUGACCCAGCAUACAGGUAUGUGGCUUCUUUAUGAUGUAAACAUCACAGGAUACAAAGGCUACCAUAAGCAUCAUAAGGGAGGCUGUGUUCUUCUUCAGUGUUAGUACAGUAAUCUCAAGACCUUGGAACACCAGGCAAACUACAGGCAACUCGUUAGUGGACUAAUCACGUGGUGAACAAUUGCUUAACAAUAUGUGGUUAUUAAUGUCUUCUGCAUUCAUGCCAGCUUGGCUGGUUUGUAUUGUUGCUUUUCCUUUAGAAGACAUACUGGGGAACAGGGUUCCCAGGCCCUGCCCAGGUCCAGUCUCUUGAAUGUAAGCAGUUGUACAAUGCAUGGGGCCUGCCUGUGGACUCGAGCAGUUCAGACCUUGGCAGGGGCCAGUCAGCAGUAGAGGACCAGCACUUGACUGACAGGCACACUGACGGGAGCCUUCCAGGCAGGGUACAUCCGGAUACUGCUGCUGCUGAUUGGCUGGUGGUGUUUCAACUGCCCUCCGAUUUUCGUUCCCUGUUACGUCAUUUCCAUUAUACUUGAUGGCUUGGAUGGGUACGCAGCCCGGCGCCUCAAUCAGAUUUCGGAGUUUGGAGCCUGGCUGGAUGUCGUGAUUGAUAACCUGGGGCGAGGGAUGCUGUGGAGCGCCUUGUUUGAGUGGGGAUAUUUUGUUUCUGCGUUAGAAUGGUGUGUGUUCGUCUGCACACACAGCUGCAUGGGUGCUGAGUGGAAGAGCCGCUUCGGAUGCAGCCCCUGGUGGAUCCAGAGAGUCACAGCAAACGGUUUUAAGAGCCCGCUGGGUGUGCUUUGUAUAUCCGGGCUGCACGUCCUGCCUGUCUGGCUAUACGGGUAUCAGAAAGGAGUCCUGACAGAGGUUCUCUUUGUCCCAUUUACACUGCAGUGCUGUGGAAUAGCCAUCCUCACUGCAGGCAGGCUCCUGUGCUUUGCUGUGGAGGUGUGGUGUCUCGGGAUGCACAUUAAGUUUCUCACAAGAACUGACCAGAAGACAAAGGAAAAAGACUGAAGCUCCUCUGUGUCCCAGACACUCUUGUGUGUAUUUCAAAAGGAGUGCUGUUCCGUUUUAAAUAUAGAUUUCAGGAGAUCAGGCUACAAUGAAAGAGAUGGAACACAGCUAAGCAGACUUGUCUAGAAGCUGUUUCUAACAAAAGUUUGUUUUGUGAUAUUUUGCUUUUAGAGUAAUGAGAAAUGAAAUCUCCAAGUGCAGCAACAAGAGCUGAAAGUUCAAUAAAAUAUUUUGUGAAAUAUAAGAUGAAUAA